CGUAGAAUUUUUUUCAUUUUUAUUUAGAAGUAUAUUAUGAAUACUACUUUAUUGCAUUUAAAUUUAUUCAUUAAUAGUUGCAUUGAUUCCUUUUUUAAAUUACAAUUAUAGUCAAAUGAAUUCAUACAAAUAUUCAAAACUAUAUAAAAAUAUCUAUGAAUUUUAUUUACAUAGUAAAAAUCAAAUUAAUAAAAAAAUACAAAUAUUCAAAAUUACAUAAUAAUAUCUAUCAAUUAUAUUUACAUAGUACAAAAACACACGUGUUUAACGUGCAUCGCACGUUCUUACUGCUAGUAUAAUGAAAUAACAGUUUGUAGUUUGAGAGCUUACCUAUCUGACUGGAGAGCGACAUAUAGAGCCCUAGACGGUUGACGGCGAGAGGGCGAGACAGCAGAUGGGAACGGCAGCGAUUCGUUAGCCGGCCGGAGGUGCGAACGGCGUCGACGUCAGCAGGUGGGCGCUGAUUGAUCAGCAUGUAGUUUCGCCAGAAUUAGAUUAUAAACCAAAAUCACAAACUUGAAACUUGGUUGGCGGCGAGAGGGCGAGAUAGCGGAUGGGAACGGCAGCGAUUCGGUGGCCGGCCGGAGGUGCGAACGGCGUCGACGUGAGCAGCAUGAUCGAGCUGGAUAGUCGAUUCCUCAAUUUAGAGAUGGAGAAGGUGUUUGCAAAAAUGCCUUUUGAGGUUUUGAAUUAUACCGCUUCAUGAAAGGUAGACCGUUAUCAUUUUGUCGAUGAUACAAAUGUUGUUGAGCUUCUAGACAAGACUGGCCAAGAGGUGUUUGAUAAAAUGACUGCCUACAACGACAAAAGCAGAGGCUGAGCAGAAGGUGUUCGAUCAAAUGUCUGAACCAAUACCUGAUGAAGUACUUGUUGGUCCACCAACGGGAAAUAUUUGUGUCAGUUCAUUAUUUCUAUAUUUGUUGCUUUCCUUUCGUUAGUAUGAGUCCUUAUUGUCUAAGGUCUCUCUUUAUUUGGAAAUUAUUUUCCUUAGGGUAAUUAUCAGUUUGCUUUUGGAGUGCUUAAUCUCGUAAUC